rnacentral:rRNA from 1 species
CCUACGGGUGGCUGCAGUGGGGAAUAUUGGACAAUGGGCGAAAGCCUGAUCCAGCCAUGCCGCGUGUGUGAAGAAGGCCUUCGGGUUGUAAAGCACUUUCAGUGGGGAAGAAAGCCUUGGGGCUAAUACCCUCGAGGAAGGACAUUACCCACAGAAGAAGCACCGGCUAACUCCGUGCCAGCAGCCGCGGUAAUACGGAGGGUGCGAGCGUUAAUCGGAAUUACUGGGCGUAAAGCGCGCGUAGGCGGUCUGAUAAGCCGGUUGUGAAAGCCCCGGGCUCAACCUGGGAACGGCAUCCGGAACUGUCAGGCUAGAGUGCAGGAGAGGAAGGUAGAAUUCCCGGUGUAGCGGUGAAAUGCGUAGAGAUCGGGAGGAAUACCAGUGGCGAAGGCGGCCUUCUGGACUGACACUGACGCUGAGGUGCGAAAGCGUGGGUAGCAAACAGGAUUAGAUACCCCUGUAGUC